rnacentral:rRNA from 1 species
AGCGAACGCUGGCGGCAGGCUUAACACAUGCAAGUCGAACGCCCCGCAAGGGGAGUGGCAGACGGGUGAGUAACACGUGGGAACGUACCCUUUGGUUCGGAAUAACUUGGGGAAACUCAAGCUAAUACCGGAUAAGCCCUUAUGGGGAAAGGUUUACUGCCGAAGGAUCGGCCCGCGUAUGAUUAGCUAGUUUGUGAGGUAAUGGCUCACCAAGGCGACGAUCAGUAGCUGGUCUGCGAGGAUGAUCAGCCACACUGGGACUGAGACACGGCCCAUACUCCUACGGGAGGCAGCAGUGGGGAAUAUUGGACAAUGGGGGCAACCUUGAUCCAGACAUGCCGCGGGAGUGAUGAAGGCCUUAGGGUUGUAAAGCUCUUUGACCCGGGACGAUAAUGACUGUACCGGGAGAAUAAGCCCCGGCUAACUUCGUGCCAGCAGCCGCAGUAA